rnacentral:rRNA from 1 species
UACAGAGGGUGCGAGCGUUGUCCGGAAUCACUGGGCGUAAAGGGCGCGUAGGUGGUGGCUUAAGCGUGCGGUGAAAGCUCGGGGCUCAACUCCGAGUCGGCCGUGCGAACUGGGCUCACUGGAGCAUAGUAGAGGCAGGUGGAAUUCCGGGUGUAGCGGUGGAAUGCGCAGAUAUCGGGAGGAACACCAGUAGCGAAGGCGGCACUCUGGGCCGGUACUGACGCUGAGGAGCGAAAGCGUGGGGAGCGAACAGG